AUUUUAGUUUUCAAUACACUGACACUACACAGCUUGCUAAAUUUCUUGAAUUUGUUUCCAGAAGAAGGAAUUAUAAGUUUACAUACUUGGGAGGAAAUAAGAAAACAACUGAGAGCAAGACUAAGGAAAAAACAAACCAACACAAAUCUAUACAGCCGUUAAAGGGUUAUUUAACAGGGAGAAACUGCUGCUUUCUGCUCCUCUCACUACUUCUCAUGGGUGGCUCCCAAGCAGGGGACAGAACCAAACAGCUCCACUAAGCCUGGAGUGAGGCCCAGACAAGGAAGGAUGCCCAUCUUAUUACCUGUGUGUAGCUGAGAAGCAGGAGGUUCUCUGAUUGUCACCUUGCUCAGAGCAGCUGCAAUGGGAGCCGGCUUCUUCCUCACUUAUGAACUCGCCUGGAUCUGCUACACCAGGUGUGGAGGUGCCCAUGAGUGCAGGAGUGUGAGGCCAUCCUGACCCCCUUGUUUUUGAUGCUGAACUGAGCUCUGGACAUGAAGACCUAGUGGACAGAUAUGGGGACAUCCCUGUAUUUUCUGGAAAUUCUCAAAUCACAUCAACACUGACCACUGGAGCCUGACCUCAAGAACUAGUCCCAGUGUUCCACAUCCAGUGCUCAGGCAAGUGCCAGAUUUUGAGGACUUGUCCAAUUGACACUCCAAAGUUACCUUGUUGAAGGUUUUGUAAAUAAGGGAGGGAAGAAGGAUUGAAGCAGGGAAAGGGAAUGGUAAAAAAAAUCAAAUUCUAUCAUGUACAGGCACAAAUUAUCUAUGAUGAAUGUGAUCAUUAUGUAUAUCUAAAAUGUACCUGUAAAAUCUGAUUAAAAAUACAUUACUUUGUUAGUAAUGCACUGUUUUUAAAUCAACCCGUGUAUAGUGUUGCCUCUCAGGCUGGUUCUCUUUCCCCUCAUAAAUCUUAACUUUCUUAUGAUCACCUACAGUGGGCAGAGGGAAGCUCAUGGUUCUCAAGGUUAUGAAUGCAGAUGAGGGCCAUGCUGUGCUUAGGAACAGGAAACCCCAUCUGUGAGCACACCAAUGCUCAGUCUCUGACCUCCACUACAUGGCCCUUUCUGGCCGCUCCCGGAACAAUGCCGUGGACCCGGAGAGCACAGAGUGUCUGCCUCUGCCUCUUUCCUGUUCUCAUACUUACACCUGUCAGGAACUCUUCUCUUCAUGGAGAUUUUUGUGAGAGCUGGAAUAUGGCCAAUGAGACCUUGCUUAGUCUCUCUCUCUCUCUCUCUCUCUCUCUCUCUCUCUCUGUUGAGAUGAUAAGUUUGCAAUAUAAGCAAGAAACCAGUGCUAAUGCAAGGUUAGGGGCUUCUUCAGGAGGGAGUGGGCUGUGGCUAUAAGAAAGGCAGAAAGGUGGGUGGUCACGAAGUGCUCACCAUGGUCUAUUACUUGGAAGGUAUUCAUUUCUGUUGGAAACCACUAAGUUAUUUUUGAUGAGCAUUUUUACCUAUAUUUUGUCUACAUCCUCCAUCCUGAAAGAAAAAGUUUCAAGAAAAACUGUCAAGAACCAACGGAGGCUUCUUGUUCCACAAUUUCAACAACAUGUGCCCAAUUUCUGCCACACAGUCAAAAUAAUCAUCUGUUGGAAUCAAGUGUUUAUUGUUUUUCUCAGGAAAGCCUGGCCUUCCCAGCAUCCUGAGGUAUAUACUGCAGGAGGGGAGACCAUGUAAGUUGGCAGGGUCUUGAUGGCCAUGAUGUGAGUUUUGGGUACAUUUGGAGGGUGAGAGGUAACAUGGGAGGGCAUGGAGCAUGCAAGACAUGUGAUAUGACAGGAUUUCUCUGGGUUCUGUGUGGAGACUUGUUGUGAGCUGUUGAAGCUUACUUUGACAUCGCAUCAUGUAUGGGAAGCAGAAGGAGGAAAAUAACAAUUGCAUGAGGAAACUGAGAAGUGAAGGUUAUCUUCAUUAUCUUGAUUAUAGUGAUGGCUUCCUGGAUGUAUACACAUCUCAGAACUGAACUGAGUCUUCUUCAUUCUUCACUCCUGUCCUCACCCUUUUCUCCUUCAUUUUCCUUUCUCUUCUUUCUCCCUCCUAUCAAGUGUCUCCUAUUUCUGUCCCUACAUUGACAAGAAGAAACUUUGUUAUUGAAGCAGAGCCUCAUGGGAGUUGGCUGUACCUGGAACCAAGACCUGUGGAGCUGUCUUCCCAUUCCAUUUGUGGGGGCCAGAAGUAGAAUCUGCCAUCUCACUGGGAAUCAUACACAAGUGUUAAAGAUAUCAUAUUGCAGUAAUUGUUGCAUGUUCCUGGUUGUAGGAGCACAAUUCAUAAUUAAAUCUUGGAGGCAGCCUAUGCAUCCAUGAACAGAUGAAUGGAUAAAGAAAAUGUGGGAGGAGGCUGGGAAGAUGGCAAAUCAAUAAGUAGCAAGGAAAAGAGCCUCUCUGAGAGAAACAGCUCAGAUGCUAGAAUUUAACACCCCGGAGAAGACCAGAUGAAAGGAGGGGGAUUCUCAGGAAGAAACUAAGGAAAAAGAAAAGAAAAAUGUGGACAGGAGGCUGGAGCCAGAUGUGGUCUCAUUGGAGCCAGUCCCAUGGUGUGCUAGGUGCCGCUGGAGUCUGAGGACUCAUGGUAGCACUGAUGUCGAGGGUUGGCGAGCCCGAGGACCUCAGCCGGAGGACGCGUCACAAUGGAGAAUGGAGCUGAUGGCAUGGAGAUCUGCACUGGCCUGGGGUGAGUGCUUGAAAUUUGGUCCUCCCAUGGGAGGUGGAGAUCAGCUGGGUGACAUUUUGAAAUCCAGCAGGACAGGCCUGAACCUGGAACUGUAGUGGCUUCAGUUGGCCACUCAUAGUGCAGAGCAGAUUGGUGGGAACUUCUUAGACUGAGUUCUGCCACUGUGCAGGACUCAAUAGCCAGGGACAAAGUUGCCCUUGAAGCUGUCCCGAACUGGUUCUGUCCACAUGGUACACACUGGCAUGUGAAGGCCCCCAAAGGUUGACUGGCUCAGAGGGCAGGGGCCAGCCUGUACUGUCCCUGUUUGUACUUCAGUGAUCCCAAGCCAGCAUGCUUCCAAGUAACCAUAACCAAUGCAGAAAGGGCCUGAGACCUCCACCAUUCACCUGUCUAGAAGAAACCAGAAACGUGACAAGAAAAAUAGAUAAGAAAAAGUCUCCAGCCACCAACCCAAACAAUAUGGGUCCAGGAGAGGUAAACACAGAAGAGAUUGAGGGUGCACACCUGCAGUACUGAAAGCAGCAUCAGCUGACAUAAAGAAAUAUCUUCAUAACAUUAUAGAAGAUCUCAAAAAAGAAAUACUAAUACAAGUAAAGCAAGAUAUAAUAUGAAUAAAAGAAAUUCUAAGCACCUCUCAAGAAGAUACAAAUGGGAGAAUGAAGGAGCACAGAAAAAGGAGGAAAACAUUCGAUGAAGAAUACAAAAAAAUCUAGAA